CUUUUCAGUCGUGCAACGCAAUGCUAGACACGAAGGAAUUCGCUGCCAAAGAGGAAUUCGGAAUAAUUAGAAAAUGGAUUUUUCACGUCGUACGUUCGCUUGUCGUUCGCCCGCCAUUAUAGAACUGCCAGAUCACUUCUAAACAAGGAACCUACCGUCAAUUCAGCCUCCUUUCGUCCCGACUUAACAAAACUGCAUUGUGGCGCAUGCUUUGCAUGCUCCUUCCAUGGAUCAUCAGAUGGUUCCCACCCAUCGAGAGUUUUAUUGCAAA